CUUGGGGGAGGAGGGGUGUUCCUCAGCCCAGAUUGUGAGAAGGCGCAAGCCAGGCCGAGGGACCCCUCAGUGCAUG
rnacentral:pre_miRNA from 1 species